ensembl:lncRNA
GCCACCAUCCCCCCAGUCGAUCUUUAUAUCCAGUUCUCCCACCCCACCCCCUUUCUUUUUCUUCUUCUUCCUCGUCCUCCCCUUUCCGCUGGAGAGCGGGAGCGAUGGAAAAGGUAGGGGGAGCCGCGAGGGCUAGGGGUGGAUCCUUCUCCGCCAAACCCUCCUCCUUCUCCUCUCGGGGUUCUCUCGCCGCCGAGGGUCUCCCCCACGCGUCCGAAACCUCCGCCGAGAGCGGGAGCGAGGGACCCACAAACUCCUUCCCAGGUGCACAGCGGGGGCUUGCCGGCGGAGCGGGAGCCCGGCCGCCUAGGGCUGCUUCCCGGGGGCCGCGGAGCCCCGAGCCCGGAGGGUGGCUGAUUAGCUCGUCGGCCCGGCCGGGCAGCUGCGGACAUGUGGGAGCUUCAUCGCGCGGCCCCGGGCUCGGCGCUGCCGCCGCUGCCUCCGCCGCCUCUUCGCUUCGUUCUCUUCUUCGACUCCCCGCGAGGGAGCAAGGUUCUGGCGCUCUCCAGACACGCACACUCACACACACGCACACACGAGCGAGCUUCUGCCAAAGCCAGCCGUGCAACCCGCGCGCGCGCACACCCGGAGAAAGAGGACGGAGGCAAAAAGAGAAGAAAGAAAGGGGAGGGGGCGAGUCACAGGCGGCAGCUGCGGGAGCUGAGGCCACGAGCAGUCCGGGAAAAGGCGGCAGCGGCUGCGGCGGCGCCCACCCGGACCAGCGGCACCUUCUGCAUCCCCGCUCCUGGGAACUGGGGCGAGCAGACAACCGGGCGACGCGCCGAGAACCGGUCGGAGCGCGGGCGCGCCGAGGCCGAGCAGCCUGCGUGCCGCGGACGCAGCCGGGGCCCUAGCCGAGCCCAGAAUGAGCCGCGGGCAAGCGAGCGCCGAGAGCCGAAGAGGGGGCUCGCGCCGCGAGAAGGGGUGGCGGGAGGCAAAACCCGGAUCUGGAGUGCGCUCGGGCUCCGCCGCGCGGGCUCCACCUAGCAGCUCGACAAACGCUUGGAGAUGUCACUUCUACAGAAAUAAACAGAGGUAUGGACAAGGCUUUUGCACAGUGGCAUACCUCUCAGUUGUAAUUGUUGUAUAAAGAAAAUCUCAUCAAGUGUAAGGAGAUGUAACCUAAGCUGGAUUCCAGGGUAUCUUUUGAGAAAUGUUGACCUCUGGACUUGCAUUAUACAGAAAUGAAAGAAAUGUGUGUGUGUUUUUAAAAGUAGUGAUUAAGGGUUUGUCAGGCUUUCUACUAUUCUUUCAUCAUGUACUGAAACCUAUGAAAGUGACAAAGUGUGUCACUAGAAGGCUUUUGUUAAAAUGUAAACAAGUAAGAUAUUCUUAAUGAUGUGCUUAAAAUUUUCAAACCAGUAACUAAAAAAAAAUUUUCCCAACUUUUUAAAUUGAAGUAUAGUUGAUGUACACUGCUAUGUUAUUUUUCAGGUGUACAAUGUACUGAUU